UACGUAGGGGGCGAGCGUUGUCCGGAUUUAUUGGGCGUAAAGAGCGUGUAGGCGGCUUGGUAGGUCUGCUGUGAAAACUCGGGGCUCAACCCCGAGACGUCGGUGGAAACCACCUGGCUAGAGUCCGGAAGAGGAGAGUGGAAUUCCUGGUGUAGCGGUGAAAUGCGCAGAUAUCAGGAGGAACACCGGUGGCGAAGGCGGGUCUCUGGGCAGUAACUGACGCUGAGGAGCGAAAGCGUGGGGAGCGAACAGG
rnacentral:rRNA from 1 species